GUAUAAAUACAAAAAUUAGCCGGGCGUGAUGGCGUGUGCCUGUACGUUUAUAUGAAUACAAACUGAGCUUUGUUUCCAUCCUCAGCCCCUUCCCGCUUAAUGGCAUAUCCUUCAACUUAGUCAAACCAGGCUACUCCUGAGUCAAUGGUCUUCAUCCUAGUCAAUUCAGGGCUUUACUAAUUAAUUUUGGGCUCCUCCUUUUCCUCAGAUGGUAUCUCAGUUUGGACAUGAAGAGAAAACCGCUGCUGUGUCCACGCAUGGAAAAUAAUUGCUGGCCCUCCCUGGUCGUCUGUCCACUAGGGCAACAUCUAAUGCAGGUUUUCUGGUUGGUCUUACCAGCAAUCACCAAGAGAUCAUUGAGUGGCUUUGGCUCUAGGAUCAUGGAGUUCUCCACUGGAUUUUCAGCAUUUGACCAACAGAAAGAGAAAGGAACACUCAUGAGAAGUUUUCCUAAACCAAGACUUCUUCCCACAUUUCAUUGUCCGUAUCUCAGCCACAUGGCCACAUCUAAGUACAAGGGAGGAUGGGAAAUGUAGAUUAGCUGUGUUUCUGAUGGGAAAAGAAACAGACCUUCAUAAUUUUUUUUUUUUUUUUUUUUUUUUACAGGAUCUCGCUCUGUCACCCAGACUGGAGUGCAGUUGCACGAUCUUGGCUUACUGCAAUCUCCACCUCAUGGGCUCAAGUGAUUCUUGUGCCUCAGCCAGCCACCCAAGUAGCUGGGCUCACAGGCACACCUGGCUAAUUUUUGAAUUUUUUAGUAGAGGUGGGGUUUUAUCAUGUUGCCCUGUCUGGUCUUGAACUCCUGACCUCAAGUGAUCCACCCGCCUUGGCACCCCAAAGUGCUGGGAUUAUAGGAGUGAGCCACCAUGCUGGGCCCAGAUUAGCUGCUAUGUUAGAAACAAUGCAUUAUAAAUAACCAGA
rnacentral:lncRNA from 1 species